CAGCCUCAAGUGAUCUGCCUGCCUUGGCCUCCCAAAGUGCUGGGAUUGCAGGCGUGAGCCACCGUGCCCGGCCACACGUGCUGGUUUCUAUCAAGGAUAAAAACCACCAGAUCAGCUCACCCAUCUCUGCCCACCCCGUAAACCAUCUUUCCAACCCAGGGACCAUCUCUGAGCCACAGCUUCCUCCUUUGUAAAAAUGAGGAUGUUGCAACCCUUCCAGUAUCAAAAACAAAAACAGACGUGAAAUGAGAUGGGGAUGUGAAAAUGCUUCGCAAGCCAAAAAGGACAAAAGCUGGGAAGCUGUGUAUCCAUGAGCCAUCCUACCAGCCCUGUGACCUUGGAGAAGCCAAUUCCAUCUCUGAACCCCAACUUCCUCCUUUGUACAGUGAGAACACUGGGGCCCACUCCCCAAUCUGAGACACACGUGAAAUGAGAGAAGGAUGUAAAAAUGCUUCGGGAGCCGAAAAGUGUAAUACCAAGAGGAGGGAGCAAAGUUCCGGACGCAAAGCAGCUGCUGCUCAGUUCGGAUCCUGGUCAUAUCAGGGCUGGCAUGGAGCUCAUCAGGGUGUAAUCAGCCCAGCCUGAACUGAAAUAAACAGCUCCCACGCAGGGAAAACCAGCUCUGUGUGAGCACUGGAGAGGGAAAAAUCAACUCUACCUGGGGCACACCAGGCAGGCUUCCUGGAGGAGGUGGCACGUGGAGAGGAAACCAGAAGGGUGAGUAAAAGCUUAGAGACCUAUGAAGAGGAGAGCGUUCUCCAAAAAGGAGAGUAGCAGGGACAAAAACAGGGGUGUGUGUGGGGAGGGAGUAUCUGUGGAAAACUGAACUUGAGGAGUCGGAAGCCAGGCAGGUGAGGGCGUAGGGCUGGGAAAUAAGUUGGGAGCAUCAGUGUGGGCCUCAAGGGCGCAACCCAGGAGCUCGGGUCAGUUGGAGGCAGAGUCAGGAGGGCGGUCUUGCUUUGGGCUGGGUGAUGGAGGACAGAGGAGGCGGGGCUUCACUGGGAGGGUGCCUUUGUCUCAGGACCAGCCAGGACUCCUAGAGAAGCGCCCCCUGGUCCCAGGCCGGGACAGGCCUUGUCACCAGUCAGCGGAGCAAAGAGCUGGGAUCAUCCCAUCCUGCUCCGUCUUGGAAGAUCAGAAGAUGCCAGCACACAGAACCCAGAAGCCGGGCACACCCCCGAUGACGAGGGUUUACAGAGAAGCUGUCUCUGACACACUAAGAGGCUGAGAGAAACCCGCACGCCGACCAGGAGACUCCUAGGUCAGCAGCCCAUGAGUCAGCAGUGACGGAGCCAGGGACAAAACCCAGGAGUCCGGGAUCAUCAGCACCAUCUCGCCCCAUUUCCAGGCAAUUUUAUUCCCAUUCUUUGCCAUCUCAGCAGGCUAGCAGAGAACUCACAGUCCAUCCCUCCUGUAGCUCCUGCUCUGACCUAGAUAUAUGCAGUCCCAGGACAUCGGGAAUGGAAGGCCCUCACUUGUCCCAUCAGCCAUUGCCCAGCUUUGGCUGCCAUGGAAACCUCCAGGCUUCAGUCUAUGUGGUCUCUUCAGGGCCUGGGUCUCAGUGGCCUUGCAGCCACACUGAGGAAUCAGAAAUCACUGGUGGGACCGGACGAGGUGGCUCACGCCUGUAAUCCCAACACUUUGGGAGGUCCAGGUGAGAGGAUCACUUGAGCUCAGGAG